AAGUUUGUUUAAUUAGUUCUUCCAUCCUGAAUAUUAAUGUUGUUCGCAUAUUUACUGAUCUAGUUUUCUUGUGUUCAUUAACUAUGGAAUUUGAGUAUUUCCAUUAUUCCAGGUGCAUUCUCUGGCAAUUUUCUUUUUUAAUUUUCUCUGUAAUCAUCUAUGAUUUCUGCAGUUGUACAAACCAACCUAUUAAAUUUACAACGGCAUAGCAGUCUUGUGGGUCAUAGCUCUCAUAGCUAUUUUUCUUCUAUUUUGGCUAUAUAUUAUCAUGUUAUCAUUGUGUACUUAUUGCUCUUGUCAUGAGGUGACUUUAUUGUUCAUACCUUCAGUUGUUUUUAUUCACUCAUUUUGAGGAGGAAAAGAAAGUUGCUUUGAUAACAUUUAUUACUGUUUAUUACCCCUCUCUGCUGAGUUGUUUAGCAGACGUCCUUUCUUUUAAUUGCCCACAUUUAUUGUCUAUAACGUCCUCAUGGCUUUUUCUUGCAGCUUUGGCUUUAGAUUUCCCUUUUUAAUCUUGCUUUUCUUGUUUUUCUAAAUUCAAAGAAAUCAUUCUUUGCGAUGGUUGUUUUAGACGCUCAAAGGUUGCAUUUUCUUUAUUACUUCACUUCUCUACUAAGUAUUGACCAAUUACUUAAUUACCAUUUCUUGAAAUUUAAAUUGUUUGUUUUAUAAAAGCAAUUUUUAGUUAAUCUUCUGUAUUUUUAAGGUCUCUGUAAAAUUUUUUCCUCUGUUAGUUCUAUGUUGUGAUCUUUUGGUGUAAACUGUGUAUUUGUUCGUUACGUUCGUUUUUAGGCUGAUUUCUAUUGGAUAUUUGCAGAAGCUUAUUUCUUCAUAUUCAAGGAGAUUAAGCAAAUUAUUCAGUAAAUCAACAGUUUCUGAAAGAAAUUUCAAGUUAAUAUUCAAUGACUUCCCGGGAGGGGCUGAAAGUUUUGAGCUCAUGUCCAGGUUCUGCUACAACAAAGGAAAAAUUGAUAUAACUCCUUACAAUAUUUCACUCCUCCAUUGUGCUUCACAAUUCAUGGAAAUGAACAUUUCUGUUUCUGGUACUCAAAACAUGUUAGAACAGAUUGAGAAAUCACUUCAAGAAAUCAAUGAUUGGACAUGGUCUGAGCUAUUGAUCACUAUAAAGCAGUGCCAAGGUUUAUCGCCCUCAACAAAUUCUUUAGCCAUUGUUGAGAAAUGUGUGGAUUCCAUUAUUGGGAGGAUAGCUUUGUCUAGUGAAUCAAGUUCUUGUCUAUCUACAUCUUCCCCGGAUAGCUCCAGCAUUAGGUUUUCAUGUGACACUAGAAGUACUGUGAGUUUGAAGAGUAGCAUGUCUCGAGCAACAUGGUGGUUUGAGGAUCUUUCAGUUUUAAGUCCUGAUUUGAUUGAAAUGGUUGUAAAAUCCUUGGUCUCGCAGAAAUUUGAUCAUGCCAUCAUUGUUAGGUUUCUCUUUUAUUAUCAGAAAUCAAAGUUCUAUACAACCACAUCUGACGAGAAGCAAAAAAUUGUUAAAACCGUCAUUGAUAUGCUUUAUAUUCUUGAUUGGAAUUCUGUUCUGUGCAAGAGACUUUUUGGGAUACUUCGAGUUGCUUUGAGUUUGAAUAUAAGCAAAUAUAGCAGGAACAAGCUGGAGAGUAUGAUAGGUUCCCAAAUGGAUCAAGCAACUCUAGAUAAUCUGCUCAUUCCAUCUCCGCAUGGGAUGGCUUACUUGUAUGAUAUCAAUCUUGUUUUAAGGUUAUUGAAAUCAUUUCUAUGUGAUGGAAACUCACAAGUAACUUCAUUGCGAUUGAAGAAAGUUGCCAUGUUGAUGGAUUUGUAUAUAGCAGAAGUAGCUCCCGAUCCUUAUUUAAAACCUUCCAAGUUCUUAGCCUUAGUCAUGGCCUUACCAGACUGUGCUAGAGAUUCUUAUGAUGAAAUCUACCGCGCCACAGACAUUUAUCUGCAGGUGCAUGCUGGAUUAUCUGAAGAAGAAAAGAUGGAGAUAUAUGGUGUGUUGAACUGUGUGAAGCUCUCAGUUGAAGCUUGCAUGCACCUUUCUCAGAACAAGAAAUUUUCAUCAAAAAGUGCAGUGCAAGCUCUCAAAUCUCAGCAACUCAAGCUCAAAAGCUUACUCCAAGGAACCAACAAUUCAAAAUGCUUUGGUGGUUCCCCAAGUAGUUUGGGAGAAAUGGGAGGCAAGGGAAUGACUAACGAAGCCAGUGAACAAAUUGUGCUUUGCACUGGGAAACUCGAGCUUUCGACUGAGUGUGAGAAGCUAAGGGCACAUUUGCAAGGAAUGCAAUGUAGGGUGAUGGAAUUGGAGGAAAUUUGCCGGAAAAUGCAAACCCAGAUGACAAAAAUAAUGAAGUCAAGAGUAUCUAGCCAUAAUAAUGCCAGAUCCUUACCCAAGCUUUGUUCAUGAUAAGAAUUUUUUUUGUUUCAUAUUAUAAUGUCUAUUAUCUGUUUCAUAUGUAUAUAGCAUGAAGG
rnacentral:misc_RNA from 1 species